rnacentral:rRNA from 1 species
UACGUAGGUCCCGAGCGUUGUCCGGAUUUAUUGGGCGUAAAGCGAGCGCAGGUGGUUUAUUAAGUCUGGUGUAAAAGGCAGUGGCUCAACCAUUGUAUGCAUUGGAAACUGGUAGACUUGAGUGCAGGAGAGGAGAGUGGAAUUCCAUGUGUAGCGGUGAAAUGCGUAGACAUAUGGAGGAACACCGGUGGCGAAAGCGGCUCUCUGGCCUGUAGCUGACACUGAGGCUCGAAAGCGUGGGGAGCAAACAGG